CAGUCGCCGCGGUAAUACGAAGGGGGCUAGCGUUGUUCGGAAUUACUGGGCGUAAAGCGCACGUAGGCGGAUAUUUAAGUCAGGGGUGAAAUCCCGCAGCUCAACUGCGGAACUGCCUUUGAUACUGGGUAUCUUGAGUAUGGAAGAGGUUAGUGGAAUUGCGAGUGUAGAGGUGAAAUUCGUAGAUAUUCGCAGGAACACCAGUGGCGAAGGCGGCUAACUGGUCCAUAACUGACGCUGAGGUGCGAAAGCGUGGGGAGCAAACAGGAUUAGAGACCCCCGUAGUCCCUGUCUCUUAUCA
rnacentral:rRNA from 1 species